rnacentral:ncRNA from 1 species
AUUAAAUUGUUUUAUAAUAUAGUUUGAUUCUGGCUAUUUAAUUAAUUGUUAAGAAUUUAUACAUGCGGUUUUUUGAUUUGUUAAGUUGAUCUUUAUUGUUGCAGUAUUUGGUAUUAAUAUAUUAAGUUAUUUUAGAUUUAGAUAUUUUAUUUUUUAUUGUAAAAUUUUGUGCCAGCAUACGCGGUUAUACAAUUUGAUGAUAUUUAAUUUUUUUGGUUAAAAUUAAGUUAAAAAUUUUUUUUUGAUUAUAUUAUUUUUGUUUUUAGGUGAAAUUUAAAUUUAAAAUAAGAUUAAUUUAAUGAUUCUUUUAAAUAUAAAGUUUAAACUAGGAUUAGAUACCCUAUUAUUUUAUUUGUUAUUUUUUACCUGGGUAGUAAUAGUUAUGUUCUUUAAACCUAAAGAAUUUGGCGGUAAUUUAGUCUGUUCAGAGGAACCUGUUCUGUGAUCGAUAAUCCACGAUUUGUUAUACUUGAUUUUGUUUAUUCAGUAUGUAUACCGCCGUUAUAAGUUUAUUUUAUUAGAAUUUAAAUUUACUUUAUAUAUUAUUUUAUAUUAUUUCAGGUCAAGGUGCAGUUUAUAGUUAAGUAGUUAUGGGUUACAAUAUUAUUUAAAUAAAUGGAUAUAAAAUUUUAUAUUUUAUUGAAGGCGGAUUUGAUAGUAAUGUUAUAUAUUAUGUAUAUUGAUUUUAGCUCUAAAUUAAGCACAUAUCGCCCGUCACUCUCAAUUAAGUUGAGAUAAGUCGUAACAAAGUAGGCGUACUGGAAGGUGUGCCUAGAAUGAAU